GACGAACGCUGGCGGCGUGCUUAACACAUGCAAGUCGAACGGAAAGGCCCUGCUUUUGUGGGGUGCUCGAGUGGCGAACGGGUGAGUAUCACGUGAGUAACCUGCCCUUGACUUUGGGAUAACUUCAGGAAACUGGGGCUAAUACCGGAUAGGAGCUCCUGCUGCAUGGUGGGGGUUGGAAAGUUUCGGCGGUUGGGGAUGGACUCGCGGCUUAUCAGCUUGUUGGUGGGGUAGUGGCUUACCAAGGCCUUGACGGGUAGCCGGCCUGAGAGGGUGACCGGCCACAUUGGGAGUGAGAUACGGCACAGACUACUGCGGGAGGCAGCAGUAGGGAAGAGUGCACGAUCGACGCAAGCCUGAUGCAGCAACGCCGCGUGCGGGAUUGCGGCCUUCGGGUAUUAAACCGCUUUCGCCUGUGACGAAGCGUGAGUGACGGUAAUGGAUAAAGAAGCACCGGCUAACUACGUG
rnacentral:rRNA from 1 species